ensembl:lncRNA
AGCCAUGUCACCUGUAACUUUAAGAAUAUUUGUAAGACUAUGGCAUUUCGGCAUCAGAUGAUGCUAUGCUACUCACUCCUCUCUGGUUCUGUGUUUAAAAAUGAAACAGAGGUUGGUCCAGGCCAGAGUGUUUUGCUUGCCGUAAUGGAUGGCUUUUGUGAUGUACAAAAUGGUCUUGAGGAUAUUCCACCCUUUACAGAGAUCUUUGUGCCAGCUUGGGUAAAAGUAAAUGGUACACACUACAAACCUGGAACCACAGUAUUUCUGUCUUACACUGCUGAUGGCGAGCCCCAGUUUGGUAGAGUGAAAAGCCUUCUCAUGUUGGGUGACAGAGUGAAGCUUGUCAUCCAAAAAUGGGAUACAGUAGGAUUUGAGAAGCAUUUCUUUGCCUACGGUGUAACAGCAACCACUGAUGUGUUUGCUGUUGAUCAAGGUUCCCUCCUUGACUAUCACACUCUCCAUGCAGUGAAGUCCUUCAGGGAUAAUGAUGACUGUUUAUAUGUUUCACUUAGAUACAGAAUCUUUUAAGACGCUGUUCAUUUCAUCUGACAUUCACAAUGUUAUGAUCAGGUGUUGAAUUAUAUGUAUUGUGUUAAAUGUUUGUUUUAAGUGCAUGAUGAGUUUUUGAAUCCCUCCUUACUAUAGCUCCAAGCUGCCUGUUCGACAAAGGAUCAAUGUUUAUCAGAAAAGAAUGUUGAAACGGUGGCAUCGACAACUCUGCUUACUGUGGUGCUUCAUCCAGAAUUUGCGAUUCGCCAAAUGUUGGGAGGUAGCCUUGAAGGGAGAUCUAUAUUAAGCACUUUGGAUGAGAAGCAAUCAAUUACAUCCAAAGAGAGGAAGCUUCUUGUGAGACUUCUGGUAUCCCACCUUAUUGAAAAACAUGGCGAAAUGCCACCCUCAGACACUAAGAUAGCACUUGCCAUGGCGUUGAUUUAUGAAUUUCCAUGUCUUAAGGAUGACACAGGCAGCAGCUAUGGAGCAUGGUACACACCUGGCCGAAAACACAGACCUGCUACAGGUUUUUUGGAGGAGCGCUUGAGAAAUGUCAGAAAGCGUAUGAGGAGCCUGAUUCGCCCGCGCCAACAGGAACCACAAGAGGACCAUGCUGUCCUUACACCAGAUUCACUUUCAUCUCCCCAAAAUAUUCGAGAGAUGGUUGCCUGGCUGAAAGCUAACAAAUAUCCAGUCUCUGAAGUGGAGGCCAAGAUGAAGGAAACCUCCAUACACAGAAGCAAAUGGAUUAGAUGUAACGGCUCCAAAACCAUCAGUGAAAUCCUGAGGGAGUUUCCCAGGCUGACAGACAAUCCUGGCAUGAUAUCGCAAGACUUUCAGCAACUUCAUCCUGAGGCAGCAGGACAAAUGUUUGAGAAGUGGCCUGCAAUUGCAGACAAAAUCUUAAAAUAUGCCCAACGAGAGGGAAAAAUAAAUGUUGUGCCAGAUGAUGUCACACCUGGUGAGAGAGCUUUAAAGGCCUUACCAAACCUGCUUCCCCCAUCACUCUUCAAAAGAGGUGGAAAAAUUGUGAGACCCACGACAGCGGAGUCUCAAAGGGCAUUUGUUAACAUGCAGCCUGUUGGAACCAAUAUAGUGGAGUACCUGACAAAUGUGGAUAACACCUUUCCACACGUUCUGUCGCUGGGACAUGAGAGAGUGUCUCAAACAUUUCUGGUUGUGGAAGGCCAUGCCAUUGAGACUGACUCGCUGCUUGAAGCUGUGGACCUGUGCUUUAAGUCUUUUUAUGUUUUUGACACGAAUUACCCAAAGGAGUGCCAACCCACAUGGGAGUUUUUGCAGCACUGCAUUUAUGAAAUAAAUGGACAAGAAUCUUCAGCUGUCAAAUUUUUGAGGACAGCC